rnacentral:misc_RNA from 1 species
UGGCUCUUUGCUUGUGCAACAACUUCCACCCGACAUACCUUUUCAGAUGUAUGCUAAGGCUUUCAAUGCCUAAACAAAUUGUGGGUUUCAUGUGUCGCUUUCCUAACAAAUGGUAUUUUCUUGUUUUAACAAAGCACUUUUUGUCUUGUGUCAUACAUAUGACUUCAGAUGAACCUUAAAGCUGUCUCUUUGAACCACACCUUUAAUGCAUUUUGUGAUGUAGUGGUACAUUGAGCUUGGCUUGGUAUCUUUGAUAUGGAACUUGAUGUGGGCAUGGGUUCUAAUGGACCUUGUUAUGUCCUCUUUUAGUUGUUAUGCUUCUUCAAAAUGACUUCUUGACUCGCAUUGGCUCGUACCAGCGUGUUAGGUUUUGUCAAAGAGGAAAGUUACCUGGUUGAUCCUGCCAGUAGUCAUAUGCUUGUCUCAAAGAUUAAGCCAUGCA